AUUUAGUUCUACUACACAAUUUCAGUUAGACAAUUUGAAAAAUCAGGAUAAGAAUUUGAUUCAAAUCCUGAUAGUUGGAUACUUGAAUUUCAUACCAAUCGCUAGUAGUGAUAGCAACAAAGACUAAUAAAGUUAUAAAUGCCAGUUAUGGAUAUUUUAACUAUUAUAUGGGGUAUAGCACAUAUGUCCUAAGGCAUGAAAUGUCUUAAUCCAGCUUUGAUAAUAAC